rnacentral:rRNA from 1 species
GACAGAGGGUGCAAACGUUGUUCGGAAUUACUGGGCGUAAAGCGCGUGUAGGCGGCCCGGAAAGUCGGAUGUGAAAGCCCUGGGCUUAACCUAGGAAGUGCAUUCGAAACUGCUGGGCUUGAGUUCUGGAGAGGAAGGCGGAAUUCUCGGUGUAGAGGUGAAAUUCGUAGAUAUCGAGAGGAACACCGGUGGCGAAGGCGGGUCUCUGGACAGUUCCUGACACUGAGGCACGAAGGCCAGGGGAGCAAACGGG